rnacentral:ncRNA from 2 species
ACGGGAGUCCGAGGGUGCCGAAAGCGGGCACGGGCUGGACUGAGAGUGCGGACCUUCUAUCCGCUGACCGUUACAACCUGAUCCGGGUCAUGCCGGCGAAGGGAGGAAUCACAUCAUGAAU